rnacentral:rRNA from 1 species
GUAGGUGGCAAGCGUUGUCCGGAAUUAUGGGCGUAAAGCGCGCGCAGGUGGGUUCUUUAAGUCUGAUGUGAAAGACCCCCGGGCUCAACCGGGGAGGGUCAUUGGAAACUGGGGAACUUGAGUGCAGGAGAGGAAAGUGGAAUUCCACGUGUAGCGGUGAAAUGCGUAGAUAUGUGGAGGAACACCAGUGGCGAAGGCGACUUUCUGGCCUGUAACUGACACUGAGGCGCGAAAGCGUGGGGAGCAAACAGGAUUAGAUACCCUGGUAGUCCACGCCGUAAACGAUGAGUGCUAAGUGUUGGGGGGUUUCCGCCCCUCAGUGCUGCAGCUAACGCAUUAAGCACUCCGCCUGGGGAGUACGGUCGCAAGACUG